GACGAACGCUGGCGGCGUGCUUAACACAUGCAAGUCGAACGGAGUGGCGAACGGGUGAGUAACACGUGGGUGACCUGCCCUGCACUUCGGGAUAAGCCUGGGAAACUGGGUCUCAUACCGGAUAGUAGUGGAUGGGCCCGCGGCCUAUCAGCGUGUUGGUGGGGUAAUGGCCUACCACGGCGGCGCCGGGUAGCCGGCCUGAGAGUGUGGACGGCCAAAUUUGGACUGUGACACGGCCCAUACUCCGACGGGAGGCAGCAGUGGGGAAUAUUGCACAAUGGUCGGAAGCCUGAUGCAGCGACGCCGCGUGGGGGAUGACGGCCUUCGGGUUGUAAACUCCUUUCACCAUCGACGCGGUAGAUGGAGAAGAAGCACCGGCUAACUACGUGCCAGCAGCCGCGGUAAUUC
rnacentral:rRNA from 1 species